GAAAGCAUAUACAAGUGAAACAAUGAGUGUUGAAAAUUCAAGUGCUGCUUUCACGGUAUGGUGUUUGGAUAAGAUGCAUUACUUUGCAUAAAAUUUGCGCUCUUUAAACAAAUCGUGUUUUGCGUGGCGCAGAAAAAUAGACCAUUUGAACGACUUUGAGACUGAACUUGUAACAAAAUGAUAAUUUACAAAUUAUGCCAGAAAAGCGGAGAUUCAGUUCGGGUACAUUUUCUAGGGAUGCCAGUAAAGCGGAGAUUCAGUUCGGGUACAUUUUCUAGGGGUAAAUGUGUACUAUAUGUAAAAACGUUUCGAAUUUUGAGUCAUCGUCAGGCAAUUUUCGAAAAAACUUUUGAAUUUUG